rnacentral:misc_RNA from 1 species
GAUGAAGAACGCAGCGAAAUGCGAUAAUUAAUGUGAAUUGCAGAAUUUAGUGAAUCAUCGAAUCUUUGAACGCACAUUGCGCCCCUUGGUAUUCCGGGGGGCAUGCCUGUUCGAGCGUCAUUUCAACCCUCAAGCUCUGCUUGGUCUUGGGCCGCGCCGGCGACGGCGGGCCUCAAAAACAGUGGCGGCGCCAUCUGGUUCCUCAGCGUAGUAAUUCUUCUCGCUGUUGGGCCCGGGUGGCCGCUGGCCAGCAACCCCAAAUUUUCUAUGGUUGACCUCGGAUCAGGUAGGGAUACCCGCUGAACUUAAGCAUACAAUAAGCGGAGGA